GAUCCUGGCUCAGGAUGAACGCUAGCGACAGGCUUAACACAUGCAAGUCGAGGGGCAGCACGGUGUAGCAAUACACUGGUGGCGACCGGCGCACGGGUGAGUAACACGUGUGCAACCAACCCCGUACCGGGAGAUAACCCGCGGAAACGUGGACUAACAUCCCAUAAUACUGGAGGAUCGCAUGAUCUUUCAUUUAAAAUUCCGGUGGUACGGGACGGGCACGCGCGACAUUAGGUAGUUGGCGGGGUAAGGGCCC
rnacentral:rRNA from 1 species